rnacentral:rRNA from 1 species
GACGAACGCUGGCGGCGUGCUUAACACAUGCAAGUCGAACGGAAAGGCCCUGCUUUUGUGGGGUGCUCGAGAGGCGAACGGGUGAGUAACACGUGAGUAACCUGCCCUUGACUUUGGGAUAACUUCAGGAAACUGGGGCUAAUACCGGAUAGGAGCUCCUGCUGCAUGGUGGGGGUUGGAAAGUUUCGGCGGUUGGGGAUGGACUCGCGGCUGAUCAGCUUGUUGGUGGGGUAGUGGAUUACCAAGGCUUUGACGGGUAGCCGGCCUGAGAGGGUGACCGGGCACAUUGGGACUGAGAUACGGCCCAGAGUCCUACGGGAGGCAGCAGUGGGGAAUAUUGCACAAUGGGCGGAAGCCGGAUGCAGCAACGCCGCGUGCGGGAUGACGGCCUUCGGGUUGUAGACCGCUUUCGCCUGUGACGAAGCGUGAGUGACGGUACUGGGUAAAGAAGCACCGGCUAACUACGUG